UAGGGAAUCUUCGGCAAUGGACGAAAGUCUGACCGAGCAACGCCGCGUGAGUGAAGAAGGUUUUCGGAUCGUAAAACUCUGUUGUUAGAGAAGAACAAGGACGUUAGUAACUGAACGUCCCCUGACGGUAUCUAACCAGAAAGCCACGGCUAACUACGUGCCAGCAGCCGCGGUAAUACGUAGGUGGCAAGCGUUGUCCGGAUUUAUUUGGCGUAAAGCGAGCGCAGGCGGUUUCUUAAGUCUGAUGUGAAAGCCCCCGGCUCAACCGGGGAGGGUAAUUGGAAACUGGGAGACUUGAGUGCAGAAGAGGAGAGUGAAAUUCCAUGUGUAGCGGUGAAAUGCGUAGAUAUAUGGAGGAACACCAGUGGCGAAGGCGGCUCUCUGGUCUGUAACUGACGCUGAGGCUCGAAAGCGUGGGGAGCAAACAGG
rnacentral:rRNA from 1 species